AUCAAUAGACCUCUCAAUAAUCUUUAAAGCACAGGUGUCAAAGUCAAGGCCCGAGGGCCAGAUCUGGUCCUUCACAUCAUUUUAUGUUGCCCGCGGGAACAAAUCAUGUGUGUCAACUAUCAUGAUUCUUGCUGAAAUCUGUACCAAAAUGUCAAAUUGUCAUGGUAAUAAAUAACUUUGAUAUUUUGCACCGACCCUACGAGGGAAGCUGAAACACCUAAGUGGCCCGCGACAAAAAAUGAGUUUGACACCCUUGCUUUACAGGUUCUCAAUAGGGUUGUGGUCAGAGGAGGAUGAUGGCCACCCGAUUAGUUUUUCUCCCUUUUUACCCAUAGAAUUAAAACAAUGGUAUCUGCAGCAGUGUGUGUCAGUGCAUAAUCUUCCAUGAGAUGAUGUUUUUUUUUAAUUAAGUGCAAAAACUAAAACAAAACUGCAAAUACAAACUACAAAAAACUAUGUUGCUUAACCACAUGGAACAACUUUAUGAAGUAAUAUUCCUUUGAUGAGGCUCAUCUGGUAAACUGAUUCUCAAACUUGUUUGCAAUUGAUUCCUCAACUAGUAAUUUACAGUAAAGUACAGUGUGUUGUGCUUUUCAAAUGCUUGGAUUGUAAUGAGAUAAAAACAUCGAGCUUG